rnacentral:rRNA from 1 species
CCUACGGGUGGCAGCAGUGGGGAAUAUUGGACAAUGGGCGAAAGCCUGAUCCAGCCAUGCCGCGUGUGUGAAGAAGGCCUUCGGGUUGUAAAGCACUUUCAGUGGGGAAGAAAGCCUUGGGGCUAAUACCCUCGAGGAAGGACAUCACCCACAGAAGAAGCACCGGCUAACUCCGUGCCAGCAGCCGCGGUAAUACGGAGGGUGCGAGCGUUAAUCGGAAUUACUGGGCGUAAAGCGCGCGUAGGCGGUCUGAUAAGCCGGUUGUGAAAGCCCCGGGCUCAACCUGGGAACGGCAUCCGGAACUGUCAGGCUAGAGUGCAGGAGAGGAAGGUAGAAUUCCCGGUGUAGCGGUGAAAGGCGUAGAGAUCGGGAGGAAUACCAGUGGCGAAGGCGGCCUUCUGGACUGACACUGACGCUGAGGUGCGAAAGCGUGGGUAGCAAACAGGAUUAGAUACCCUGGUAGUC